GACAAGACUAACCUUAAUGUUUAAAUAUAUAUUAUUUAGUAAAUAAGGUUAGUAAGGUAAAUAGCUUAUUAUUACAUUAUAUGUAAUUAAAAAUACAUGAAAUUUAAACUAGCUAUCAUCUUCUUCCAUGGCCGAAUAUUAACAAAAGAAAAGAAAGAAAAACCAAGCUAGGUUUCAGCACAAAACAAACUUGAUUAAGAUCAAGAAUAGAAGAAAUCGGAGUUAGAUCGGGGAAAUGCUAAAGUUGUCGAUUAAUAGUCCGAUUUCGACUUUUCAACGUCCAAGACUUAAAGAGCAAGUUUCAGGCUCGAGGAUCGUCAGCAAGAUCAUCACUCUAUCUAUAGUCUAAGUAUUAAAUGUUUUAAAAUUUUAACUUAUGGCAUUAUAGACUAGAUAAUAUUUUGAAAGUCGUACUUGAUGUACAGUAUAUGUAAUUAAUAGCCAUACGAAUAUGGCUUAUUUUCUUAUAGUUUAACUGGAUUCAAAUCUUAUGUUCUGUUUAAAAUGAUCAAAGUAGAAUUUAUAUAUUA